rnacentral:rRNA from 1 species
GACGAACGCUGGCGGCGUGCUUAACACAUGCAAGUCGAACGGAAAGGCCCUGCUUUUGUGGGGUGCUCGAGUGGCGAACGGGUGAGUAACACGUGAGUAACCUGCCCUUGACUUUGGGAUAACUUCAGGAAACUGGGGCUCAUACCGGAUAGGAGCUCCUGCUGCAUGGUGGGGGUUGGAAAGUUUCGGCGGUUGUGGAUGGACUCGCGGCUUAUCAGCUUGUUGGUGGGGUAGUGGCUUACCAAGGCUUUGACGGGUAGCCGGCCUGAGAGGGUGACCGGCCACAUUGGGACUGAGAUACGGCCCAGACUCCUACGGGAGGCAGCAGUGGGGAAUAUUGCACAAUGGGCGGAAGCCUGAUGCAGCAAUGCCGCGUGCGGGAUGACGGCCUUCGGGUUGUAAACCGCUUUCGCCUGUGACGAAGCGUGAGUGACGGUAAUGGGUAAAGAAGCAACGGCUAACUACGUG